rnacentral:snoRNA from 1 species
UGCAUGAUGUAACGGCACUGGGCUCCGAUAUCAAAUGAGCAGACAUGCCACUUCUGCGACAGGCCUAGAAAACCUCGUCCACUGA